GACGAACGCUGGCGGCGUGCCUAACACAUGCAAGUCGAGCGGGGUGGAGGCGAGAGGUAACUCAAGCUUCUACCUAGCGGCGGACGGGUGAGUAACGCGUGGGCAACCUGCCUCAAGGAUCGGGAUAACAGCUCGAAAGGGCUGCUAAUACCGGAUAUGCCUAUGGCCUCGCAUGGGGCUGUGGGCAAAGGGGAAACCCGCCUUGAGAUGGGCCCGCGUCCCAUCAGCUAGUUGGUGAGGUGAAGGCUCACCAAGGCGACGACGGGUAGCCGGCCUGAGAGGUGACCGGCCACACUGGGACUGAGACACGGCCCAGACUCCUACGGGGGGCAGCAGUGGGGGAUCUUGCACAAUGGGCGAAAGCCUGAUGCAGCGACGCCGCGUGAGCGAAGAAGGCCUUCGGGUUGUAAAGCUCUGUCUGGAGGGACGAGAAAGUGACGGUACCUCCGGAGGAAGCCACGGCUAACUACGUGCCAGCAGCCGCGGUAAAAUCACGUGUACG
rnacentral:rRNA from 1 species